GGCGCAGGUCUAGUGCGGAAGAAUGGUUUGAACCCAUUCUCUGGGGGCUCAGCAACCUCCCCUGCGUUG
rnacentral:tRNA from 1 species